GCCCCUUCAUAUGGUAUGCAAAUGCAACUUCAUGAUUUAAAUAUUCAUACCAGACGUAAUUACUUCUAAGAGAAGAAACCACACGGAAAAUCUAUGCAGUUAACCCGUAAGAUGAUGACAGAAAAAGAGUAGGCAGCAACAUAAUUUUAACACAAGUAACCACCACUAUAUCUCGAAAACGACAUGAAAUGAUGAAGCUUCCAAUUCUUCCCUCUGAUCAAAAAAAGUAUACUAUCUUAUAGGCCUGCUAACAACUGUAAGAAUAGGUAUUAAUUUUCUAAGCAGAUCAAACUGGCAUGAUUAACAUCAGCAGCAGAUCAAGACAGCCACACUUUUCAUUCGACUUCUCGGACAAUUCUUUUUGUUCGCAGUUGCUUAUUUUUAAUGCUUCCAGGGGCACUGUGAGCUUUCCUCCUCUCCUCUUUCCGCCUCGCAGAUUCUGUCAUCUCACGUAUUUGUCUACUUGCCUUGUAGAUUGGUUUUGGCAAGUGUCUAUGUCUGUCAAUGCGCCUGACUUCUUUAAGAUGCUUGUAACGAUUCUUGACAGCCUCCAUAUAUUCAUGUCUUUUCCGCUCUCUUGGCAAAACAACUCCCAUUUGCUCAGAUGCUUUUGCUUUCCAUAGACGUAGGUUGGUAUCAUCACUUCCUGAGAUAAUAUAACUUGCAUCGCAACUGAACUUGACACAGAAUACCCUCUGCAUCCUCUUAGUGUGAUAAAUUUCCCUGCUGUGACCACCAUUAUAUUUGAAAAUUCUCACAGAUCUAUCAUAAGAUCCAGUAACGAAUUCUCGACCGGUUGGUGAAUAAUCUAUAUCCAUCACUGAAGAGGUAUGAUCUAUAUGCACACAUUUGGCUUCAUUUAACUUUCUAACAUCAUAACUGUAGCAUCUGCCAUCAUCAUUAGCGGCAGUAAAAUUCAUUGGCUCCAUCGGAUUCCAUGCUAUAGAAUUAGUUUUUGUCGACAUAAUAACCUUUCUAGCUGGUGUAGAAAGCCGUAAAUCAUAGAUGCUUAUGCUUCGAUCACUUGCUGAUGUAGCCAAAAGAUUAGGUUCCCCUGGAUUAAACCGAACAGAUGUAACUGUGUCUUUUCCCCAUUCAAAACUAUUAACCGGCUGAGACCUGUUAUGGUUCCAAAUGUCAACUUGAGCACCAGCUGUGGCAAAG
rnacentral:misc_RNA from 1 species